rfam:Arabidopsis thaliana chromosome 2, complete sequence.
AAGAGCCAGUGAUGAUUGAAAAAGAUUGUCUACAUUGUUUGAUGUACCACUGAAAUGAAUUCUUUAAUUAGUCUGAGGCUCAU